rnacentral:rRNA from 1 species
CCCAGACUCCUACGGGAGGCAGCAGUGGGGAAUAUUGCACAAUGGGGGAAACCCUGAUGCAGCGACGCCGCGUGAGCGAAGAAGUACCUCGGUAUGUAAAGCUCUAUCAGCAGGGAAGAAGAUGACAGUACCUGAGUAAGAAGCACCGGCUAAAUACGUGCCAGCAGCCGCGGUAAUACGUAUGGUGCAAGCGUUAUCCGGAUUUACUGGGUGUAAAGGGAGCGUAGGCGGCGCGUUAAGUCUGAUGUGAAAACCCGAGGCUCAACCACGGGAGUGCAUUGGAAACUGGCGGGCUGGAGUGCCGGAGAGGUAAGCGGAAUUCCUAGUGUAGCGGUGAAAUGCGUAGAUAUUAGGAGGAACACCAGUGGCGAAGGCGGCUUACUGGACGGCAACUGACGCUGAGGCUCGAAAGCGUGGGGAGCAAACAGGAUUAGAUACCCGGGUACCG